rnacentral:rRNA from 1 species
CACGUAGGGCGCAAGCGUUGUCCGGAAUUACUGGGCGUAAAGGGCGCGUAGGCGGACAGUUUAGUCAGAGGUGAAAGCCCAGGGCUCAACCUUGGAAUUGCCUUUGAUACUGGCUGUCUUGAGUUCGGGAGAGGUGAGUGGAAUGCCGAGUGUAGAGGUGAAAUUCGUAGAUAUUCGGCGGAACACCAGUGGCGAAGGCGACUCACUGGCCCGAUACUGACGCUGAGGCGCGAAAGCGUGGGGAGCAAACAGG